rnacentral:rRNA from 1 species
AGCGCGUAUCCAACCUUCGUACACUCAGGGAUAGCCUUUUCGAAAGAAAGAUUAAUACCUGAUGGUAUGAUGAGAUUGCAUGAUAGCAUCAUUAAAAGAUUUUAUCCGGGUGAUGGAUGGGGAUGCGUCUGAUUAGCUUGUUGGCGGGGUAACGGCCCACCAAGGCGACGAUCAGUAGGGGUUCUGAGAGGAAGGUCCCCCACAUUGGAACUGAGACACGGUCCAAACUCCUACGGGAGGCAGCAGUGAGGAAUAUUGGUCAAUGGGCGAGAGCCUGAACCAGCCAAGUAGCGUGCAGGAUGACGGCCCUAUGGGUUGUAAACUGCUUUUAUAAGGGAAUAAAGUGGGAGUCGUGACUCUUUUUGCAUGUACCUUAUGAAUAAGGACCGGCUAAUUCCGUG